GAUGAACGCUGGCGGCGUGCUUAACACAUGCAAGUCGAACGGUGAACGAGGGAGCUUGCUCCCUCCGGAUCAGUGGCGAACGGGUGAGUAACACGUGAGCAAUCUGCCCUGGACUCUGGGAUAAGCGUUGGAAACGACGUCUAAUACCGGAUACGAGGCGUGGGGGCAUCCCCAACGCCUGGAAAGAACUUCGGUCCAGGAUGAGCUCGCGGCCUAUCAGUUAGUUGGUGAGGUAACGGCUCACCAAGGCGACGACGGGUAGCCGGCCUGAGAGGGUGACCGGCCACACUGGGACUGAGACACGGCCCAGACUCCUACGGGAGGAAGCAGUGGUGAAUAUUGCACAAUGGGCGCAAGCCUGAUGCAGCAACGCCGCGUGAGGGACGACGGCCUUCGGGUUGUAAACCUCUUUUAGCAGGGAAGAAGCGAAAGUGACGGUACCUGCAGAAAAAGCACCGGCUAACUACGUGCCAGCCGCCGCCGUAACAC
rnacentral:rRNA from 1 species